UUCAACCUUCAAAUAUGUUGAUGAAUGAUCAAUGGAUAAUUCUUGACACUUUGAGGUGUUGAGAGGUUGCCCUUAGUUGAUCAUGUUUGAAUCCCCUGAUGUUUAGAUGAGACCUUCAGUUACUUGAGCAAUUGCCUUUUUAUUUUUCCUUUGUGUUGCAUUAUUUCAAGAGGCUAACUUUGUGUUAUACCUCCAACAUUCCUAGCACAUAUAUUAUUAUUGAGCAGCCUCAGAUAGGUGUGACUUCUACAUAAGUCCACUUACA
rnacentral:lncRNA from 1 species